UGAUAAUGUGAUCUAGGUAGUGGUAGUGACUUCAUUAUUUUGACAACACUGUAUGGUAAAGCUCAGCACAAUUACAUUUGUAAAUAUGCAUUUUCUGUUCCAUUAUCUCCAAUGAUCUCAAUUUUAAGAAUGAGUGCUGAGUACAGUAAUAACUUAUAAGUAUUUAUGUGUCUUGCAGAAUGUUGUCAUAAAUUGAUCCAUCUACCCUUGGGUUUAAAAAGUGAAACAAAUAUAUAGUAUAAAUUCCUAAACAUGGGUUUCUGGUCAAGCUACAAAAGACUUACUCAGAGACAGAAAUUUCUCAUUGGCCUCAGCUGGAUUGCAACUGGUUUACUUGGUCCACAUAUCUUGCUCUAUUUUGUCCCAAGUCAGAAACAAAGACUUCAGGAAAAACAAAGAAUUGAAAAUGAAAAAGAAGAAUUGAGUAGUUAGUUGAAUUAGAACUAUAAGAGUCGAGUCCAGUUGGCUGCAUGGGAAGCUGACCAAAGACCAAAUUGGGAUGAAUUAUUAUUAUCCCACAUUAUUAUGCUGCCUCACUUUCUGUUGUGAUUGAACAAACUGUACUUUUUAAUUAUUACAACUUUAAUAGUGUUAGGUCUUGGCAGAAGUGGAAAAAGUAUUGGAACCUGCAUGGGAACCUAGUUCCCAGAAAUUUUUUAGGCAUCCAAAUUUUCGCAGAAAUUUUCACAGAUAUUGUUUUAUAUUUGAUAACUAAUUCUGAGAAUUACACUAAUUGAAUAUCAGAUUACUAAAUACUUGAUUAUUGAAAUGAUUGAAUAGUUAUAUAAUUAAUCUGCUAUCUCGAUACCUAAAUUACAGUGGAAUAGUUCAGAACAAAAAUAGCAUGCAGUGUUACUUUGUAACUAUGAUUUUGUACUUCAGGAUUUAUCUUGUAUGCUUGAUCAGUCUUAAUUGAAGAGAUUGCUUCACGCGACUCACAUCUUAAUGAAUAUAAUCCAUGUAAGGUAAGACCGACA
rnacentral:lncRNA from 1 species